rnacentral:rRNA from 2 species
AGGUUGGUCAUGCCUCUGGUAUGUACUGGUCUCACUGAUUCCUCUUCCUGAUGAACCGUAAUGCCAUUAAUUUGGUGUUGCGGGGAAUUUGGACUGUUACUUUGAAAAAAUUAGAGUGUUUAAAGCAGGCUAACGCUUGAAUACAUUAGCAUGGAAUAAUGAAAUAGGACGUUCGAUCCUAUUUUGUUGGUUUCUAGGAUUGACGUAAUGAUUAAUAGGGAUAUUGGGGGCAUUAGUAUUCAAUUGUCAGAGGUGAAAUUCUUGGAUUUAUUGAAGACUAACUACUGCGAAAGCAUUUGCCAAGGAUGUUUUCAUUAAUCAAGAACGAAAGUUAGGGGAUCGAAGACGAUCAGAUACCGUCGUAGUCUUAACCAUAAACUAUGCCGACCAGGGAUCGGAUGAUGUUAAUUUUUUAAUGACUCAUUCGGCGCCUUACGGGAAAC